UGGGGAAUUUUGGACAAUGGGCGCAAGCCUGAUCCAGCAAUGCCGCGUGCAGGAUGAAGGCCUUCGGGUUGUAAACUGCUUUUGUACGGAGCGAAAAGGCUUCCACUAAUACUGGGGGCUCAUGACGGUACCGUAAGAAUAAGCACCGGCUAACUACGUGCCAGCAGCCGCGGUAAUACGUAGGGUGCGAGCGUUAAUCGGAAUUACUGGGCGUAAAGCGUGCGCAGGCGGUCUUGUAAGACAGGUGUGAAAUCCCCGGGCUUAACCUGGGAACUGCACUUGUGACUGCAAGGCUGGAGUACGGCAGAGGGGGAUGGAAUUCCGCGUGUAGCAGUGAAAUGCGUAGAUAUGCGGAGGAACACCGAUGGCGAAGGCAAUCCCCUGGGCCUGUACUGACGCUCAUGCACGAAAGCGUGGGGAGCAAACAGGAUUAGAUACCCUGGUAGUCCACGCCCUAAACGAUGUCAACUGGUUGUUGGGUCUUCACUGACUCAGUAACGAAGCUAACGCGUGAAGUUGACCGCCUGGGGAGUACGGCCGCAAGGUUG
rnacentral:rRNA from 1 species